rnacentral:rRNA from 1 species
UCGGCCUGCCGGCGAGUGGCGAACGGGUGAGUAAUGCAUCGGAACGUGCCCAGUCAUGGGGGAUAACUACGCGAAAGCGUAGCUAAUACCGCAUACGAUCUACGGAUGAAAGCGGGGGAUCGCAAGACCUCGCGCGAUUGGAGCGGCCGAUGGCAGAUUAGGUAGUUGGUGGGGUAAAGGCCUACCAAGCCUGCGAUCUGUAGCUGGUCUGAGAGGACGACCAGCCACACUGGGACUGAGACACGGCCCAGACUCCUACGGGAGGCAGCAGUGGGGAAUUUUGGACAAUGGGCGCAAGCCUGAUCCAGCCAUUCCGCGUGCAGGAUGAAGGCCUUCGGGUUGUAAACUGCUUUUGUACGGAACGAAAAGGCUCUCUCUAAUACAGGGGGUUCAUGACGGUACCGUAAGAAUAAGCACCGGCUAACUACGUGCCAGCAGCCGCGGUAAUACGUAGGGUGCAAGCGUUAAUCGGAAUUACUGGGCGUAAAGCGUGCGCAGGCGGUGAUGUAAGACAGUUGUGAAAUCCCCGGGCUCAACCUGGGAACUGCAUCUGUGACUGCAUCGCUGGAGUGCGGCAGA